UACAGAGGUCCCGAGCGUUGUUCGGAUUCACUGGGCGUAAAGGGUGCGUAGGUGGCUUGGUAAGUUUGAUGUGAAAGCUCAGGGCUCAACCCUGAAAUGGCAUUGAAUACUACUGAGCUGGAGGUUUGGAGGGGGGACUGGAAUUCUCGGUGUAGCAGUGAAAUGCGUAGAUAUCGAGAGGAACACCAGUGGCGAAGGCGAGUCCCUGGACAACACCUGACACUGAGGCACGAAAGCUAGGGGAGCAAACGGG
rnacentral:rRNA from 1 species